UUCAAUAAUGACCACUAAGUGUAGUUGCCUUGUGGGAUCUUGGAAAAUAUAGAAAAAUAGAUAGAAGGGUUAGAAAGAAUAUAGAAUAUUGAUUAGAUUCUUCAGAGAUAAAUGUGUUGUUUAUUUAUAAACAUAAAUUUAGAUUAUGUGGGGACACACCUCAUACAAAGUUGUUAGAACCACCAACCUCAUUGAGGAUUUACAAUGGAAUUUAUGCAUAACCUUAUUGAGGAUUCUGGUACCUCUUUGUUUUUCUGAACCUUUCUCUUGUACUUUUUUCAUUUUCUUUAUUUUCAUUUUCGAUCGGUGCGUAUACUUAUUCUUGUUUUACUGAUUUUUGCAGGCAAAACAAUAGG
rnacentral:lncRNA from 1 species